CGGCAGCGCGGACUUCGGUCUGGCGGCGAGUGUGCGAACGGGUGAGUAAUACAUCGGAACGUACCCUGUUGUGGGGGAUAACUAGUCGAAAGAUUAGCGAGUACCGCAUACGACCUGAGGGUGAAGGCGGGGGACCGCAAGGCCUCGCGCAGCACGAGCGGCCGAUGUCUGAUUAGCUAGUUGGUGGGGUAAAGGCCCACCAAGGCGACGAUCAGUAGCUGGUCUGAGAGGACGAUCAGCCACGCUGGGACUGAGACACGGCCCAGACUCCUACGGGAGGCAGCAGUGGGGAAUUUUGGACAAUGGGGGCAACCCUGAUCCAGCAAUGCCGCGUGUGUGAAGAAGGCCUUCGGGUUGUAAAGCACUUUUGUCCGGAAAGAAAACGCUCUGGUUAAUACCUGGGGCGGAUGACGGUACCG
rnacentral:rRNA from 1 species